AGAACCUCUCGGAAUGAUAGUGCUGUUGCUGGUCUAACUGCUUCAAAAUCGAUUGCAGAGCAGAAAGUGCUUCAAUUGAUGCCAGAACUGCUUUAGGGCACUUGCAGAUGCAAAUAAUAGUGAAUUGCACGUCAGAUCAGCAGAUGCCUAACUUGAUUAUGUGGCAUCCUUUCCCCCAAGUUCGAGGAACGAACAAGCCUGACUGACUUGACUCUGAAGCUUUCAGGAAGUAAGAGGCUGUCAGGGGCCAGAGCUUGCGGCACUUGGAAGAAAAUGCUGAGACCAACUUGCUGCGUUGUCUGCUGGUCAUGUGAGUACUGAACGCGUGAACCUGCUCAUGUUGCAUCUUGUUCCAGCGGCAGCGAUCAGUUUAGUUCUACCAAGAACGUAUCUUUGGCGUCUGAAUUCUGAAUGUUUUCAGAAACUGAAUUCCCAAAAAUCACACAUGCUUAUUUACUCGUCCCUCGACGCGCUGGAACUCGUUUUGCAUGUGUAAUGCUGAAGAACAAUUGACCUGUACCGGUGCACCUGCGAGCUCCAAAUCUGGUCUUGUGUGCAGUGUGAUGUGAUGGUGAAAAGAAGUUGGUUGAAACGACCUGUUGAGCUCGAGUCGUAGUAGUAUCCUAUAAUGCAUGUGGGGAACAUGCUAAUGCUGCGUGCUUGCAUGUGUUCGUGUGUGUUCUUAGAGUGAAUUGCUGCUGUGUUUCAGUCAGCGUCAUUUUUGGCUGUUCUGAGAGUGAAUUGCUGCUGUGUUUCAGC